UGAAUACGAGACGCUAAGGCGUCGAAGUAGUGUAUGUCAUGCUUCCAAGAAAAGCUUGCACUGUCAUAGAUAAAAAACGCCUGUACCAUAACCGACACAGGUGGGUAGGUAGAGUAUACUAAGGGGCGCGAGAUAACUCUCUCUAAGGAACUCGGCAAAAUAACUCCGUAACUUCGGGAGAAGGAGUGCCUUAUUCUUAAGGUUGCAAUAACCAGAUCCAAGCAACUGUUUAUCAAAAACACAGGUCUCCGCUAAGUCGUAAGACGAUGUAUGGGGGCUGACGCCUGCCCAGUGCCAGAAGGUUAAAGAAGUUGGUUAGCAUUUGCGAAGCUGAUAACUGAAGCCCUGGUGAACGGCGGCCGUAACAAUAACGGUCCUAAGGUAGCGAAAUUCCUUGUCGGGUAAGUUCCGACCCGCACGAAAGGCGUAAUGAUUUGGAUGCUGUCUCGGAGAGGGGCUCGGUGAAAUAGACUUGUCUGUGAAGAUGCGGACUACCUGCACCAGGACAGAAAGACCCUAUGAAGCUUUACUGUAACUUGAGAUUGAAAUUGGACUUUAUUCGCGCAGCAUAGGUGGGAGGCGUUGAUUAUAAUCUCGUGGGAUUAUUGGAGCCAUCAGUGAGAUACCACUCUUGUAAUGUUAGAUUUCUAACUUUGAAUCAUUAUCUGGUCAAAGAACAGUUUCAGGCGGGCAGUUCGACUGGGGCGGUCGCCUCCUAAACGGUAACGGAGGCGUACAAAGGUUUCCUCUGAACGGUUAGAAAUCGUAUCUAGAGUGUAAAGGCAUAAGGAAGCUUGACUGUGAGACCUACAAGUCGAGCAGGGACGAAAGUCGGUCUUAGUGAUCUGACGGUACUGAGUGGAAAGGCCGUCACUCAACGGAUAAAAGUUACUCUAAGGAUAACAGGCUGAUCUCCCCCAAGAGUCCACAUCGACGGGGAGGUUUGGCACCUCGAUGUCGGCUCAUCGCAUCCUGGGGCGGCAGUACGUCCCAAGGGUUGGGCUGUUCGCCCAUGAAAGCGGUACGCGAGCUGGGUUCAGAACGUCGUGAGACAGUUCGGUCCAUAUCCGGUGUAGGCGUUAGAAUAUUGAGAGGAGCCUUCUUUAGUACGAGAGGACCGAGAAGGACAUACCUCUGGUGUACCAGUUAUCGUGCCAACGGUAAACGCUGGGUAGCUAUGUAUGGAGUGGAUAACCGCUGAAAGCAUCUAAGUGGGAAGCCCACCUCAAGAUAAG
rnacentral:rRNA from 1 species